rnacentral:rRNA from 1 species
CAGUCGCCGCGGUAAAACGUAGGGCGCAAGCGUUGUCCGGAAUUAUUGGGCGUAAAGAGCUCGUAGGCGGUCUGUCGCGUCUGGUGUGAAAUCCCGAGGCUCAACCUCGGGCUUGCAUCGGGUACGGGCAGACUAGAGUGCGGUAGGGGAGACUGGAAUUCCUGGUGUAGCGGUGGAAUGCGCAGAUAUCAGGAGGAACACCGAUGGCGAAGGCAGGUCUCUGGGCCGCAACUGACGCUGAGGAGCGAAAGCAUGGGGAGCGAACAGGAUUAGAUACCCCAGUAGUCCCUGUCUCUUAUAU